rnacentral:rRNA from 1 species
AUGUAUCUUCAUCGCGGAGUCAUUUGUUUUACUAAAGAUAAUCUUAUUAAGAGGAAUUGGCAAGGAAACACGGUAUGUGUUUUUUGUCACCAUGAUGAGACAAUAAAACAUUUAUUCUUCCGAUGCAAAUUGGCUCGUUCUAUAUGAUCAGUCAUCCAAAUAGUUUGUGGUUUGUAUCCUCCUUGUAGUGUUGCUAAUGUAUUUGGCAACUGGUUACAUGAGAUUGAUUACAGGUUUAUAACUCUUCUUAAGAUGGAAGCGUUUGCCGUUAUUUGGUCGCGUUGGCUAUGUAGAAAUGAUAAGGUUUUUAAUGGUAAAAGUACUUCUCUGAUGCAGGUUAUCUACAGAUGUAUCAGGAAUCUUCGUUUAUGGUCCUCUCUACAAUGCGUGAAGAAUCGAGACCUAUUUAUGGAUGUGUGUACACGAUUGGAGGCUACGGCGAAGGAUACUUUUACCCAACAUGGGUGGCAGCAUGAUCUUAGGAUCGGCCCCCUCUGCUUUAGGCGUUAUACAGAUCUUUUUGUAUUUUGCCUUUUUUAUUUUUUGUUUGUGCGAGAGGACCUUAUUUGCCUGUGUGCAUCUUAG